AAUUUCUAUAUGCUUUUCGUAUAAUUCCGGGAAUUGGCCCGGAAGUUUCUACGAGGUCACCGUAAAUGAUCUGGCUACGGAAAGAA
rnacentral:ncRNA from 1 species